rnacentral:misc_RNA from 1 species
GAUGAAGAACGUAGCGAAAUGCGAUAAGUAAUGUGAAUUGCAGAAUUCAGUGAAUCAUCGAAUCUUUGAACGCACAUUGCGCCCGUUAGCAUUCUAGCGGGCAUGCCUGUCCGAGCGUCAUUUCAACCCUCAGGGUCCCCGUUCCGGCGGGGAACCUGGUGUUGGGGAUCGGCCCGCCCCGUGCGGCGCCGUCCCCCAAAUUCAGUGGCGGUCUCGCUGCAGCCUCCCCGGCGUAGUAGUUACAACCUCGCAUCGGAGCUCAGCGCGGCCACGCCGUAAAACCCCCGACUUUCUGAACGUUGACCUCGGAUCAGGUAGGAAUACCCGCUGAACUUAAGCAUAUCAAUAAGCGGAGGA